CCUACGGGAGGCAGCAGUGAGGACUAUUGGUCAAUGGACGAGAGUCUGAACCAGCCAAGUAGCGUGAAGGAUGACUGCCCUAUGGGUUUUAAACUUCUUUUAUAUGGGAAUAAAAUGUUCCACGUGUGGGAUUUUGUAUGUACCAUAUGAGUAAAGAUCGGCUAACUCCGUGCCAGCAGCCGCGGUCAUACGUAGGAUCCAAGCAUUAUCCGGAGUGACGUGGUGUAAAGAGUUGCGUAUGUGGCAUAAUAAGUAGCUAGAGAAAUCUGGUGGCUCAACCAUUCAGACUAUUAGCUAAACUGUUAAGCUCGAGACAGGGAGGGGUAACUGGAAUUUCUAGUGUAGGAGUGAAGUCCGUAGAUAUUAGAAGGAACACCAAUAGCGUAGGCAGGUUACUGGGACGGUUCUGACACUAAGGCACGAAAGCGUAGGGAGCAAACGGGAUUAGAUACCCUUGUAGUC
rnacentral:rRNA from 1 species